UACAGAGGUGGCAAGCGUUGUUCGGAAUUACUGGGCGUAAAGGGCGCGUAGGCGGCCUUCUAAGUCAGACGUGAAAUCCCCCGGCUUAACCUGGGAACUGCGUCUGAUACUGGGAGGCUUGAGUAUGGGAGAGGGAUGUAGAAUUCCAGGUGUAGCGGUGAAGUGCGUAGAUAUCUGGAGGAAUACCGGUGGCGAAGGCGGCAUCCUGGACCAUAACUGACGCUGAGGCGCGAAAGCUAGGGGAGCAAACAGG
rnacentral:rRNA from 1 species